GACCAGGGCCAAGGAAGUGUGCAGAAAGAACAAAGACUGCAUAAGCUGAGACAAGAGAAAGCACAAAUUUAAUCCCUUG